rnacentral:miRNA from 1 species
UGUGUGUGUGUGUGUGUGUGUGUGUGUGUCUGUCUAUAGAUACACACACACACACACACACACACACACACACC